GCUGGGCGUGGUGGCUCAUGCCUGUAAUCCUAGCUACUUGGGAGGCUGAGGCAGGAGAAUUGCUUGAACCCGGGAGGUGGAGGUUGCAGUGAGCUGAGAUUGUGCCACUGUACUCCAGCCUGGGUGACAGAGCGAGACUCCGUCUCAA
rnacentral:SRP_RNA from 1 species